rnacentral:misc_RNA from 1 species
AAUUGUUGGAAUUGGGGGAUUAGGUAAGACCACACUUGCUCAACUCAUAUUCAAUGAUGAGCACAUUAAGAAUUCAUUUGAGUUAAAAAUAUGGGUGUGCGUUUCAGAUCCUUUUGAUGUGAAACUGAUUGUUAGAAAAAUUUUGGAGUCCGCAACGAGUGCAAAAUCAUAAGAUCUUGAGCUAGAGCCAUUGAAAUCUAAACUUGGAAAAAUUAUUUAUGGGAAGAAAUAUCUACUAGUGCUUGAUGAUGUGUGGAAUGAGAAUCAAGAAAAAU